GGAAGGAUGGCCGAGUGGUUUAAGGCAACGAUCUUGAAAACCGUCGAGUGUAGAGUUCGAAUCUCUGUCCUUCCGCCA
rnacentral:tRNA from 1 species